ensembl:lncRNA
CCUUGAAUGGUUAAUGCUUGGCAAACAAAAAUGGAGAUUCCAAAUACCAUCAUCACCUUUGACUUGAGAGUUGCAGCUGAGGCCUUUGGAGAGACAUUUAGGACAUCUGAAGGACAAGACGUUGAAACUCGUGAUUUGAAGGCAGGAAGCGUAUGGAAUACAAAUCACCUCUGAUACACCCCUUGAUUUCUAUUUCUAGUAAAUAUUAUUCACCUAUUAGUCAUUUUCAGGGCUUGUUCUCAUUCAGUCACGUGGCUACAUGGAUGAGUUACUCAUUUUGUAGUAAUGCUGUCUUUGGAAGAUGAGCC